UACGAAGGGGGCUAGCGUUGCUCGGAAUCACUGGGCGUAAAGGGUGCGUAGGCGGGUUUUUAAGUCAGGGGUGAAAUCCUGGAGCUCAACUCCAGAACUGCCUUUGAUACUGAAGAUCUUGAGUUCGGGAGAGGUGAGUGGAACUGCGAGUGUAGAGGUGAAAUUCGUAGAUAUUCGCAAGAACACCAAUGGCGAAGGCAGCUCGCUGGGACGGUACUGACGCUGAGACGCGAAAGCGUGGGGAGCAAACAGG
rnacentral:rRNA from 1 species